CAGCCGCCACGGGAAUACGUAGGGUGCAAGCGUUAAUCGGAAUUACUGGGCGUAAAGCGUGCGCAGGCGGUUAUAUAAGACAGAUGUGAAAUCCCCGGGCUCAACCUGGGAACUGCAUUUGUGACUGUAUAGCUAGAGUACGGCAGAGGGGGAUGGAAUUCCGCGUGUAGCAGUGAAAUGCGUAGAUAUGCGGAGGAACACCGAUGGCGAAGGCAAUCCCCUGGGCCUGUACUGACGCUCAUGCACGAAAGCGUGGGGAGCAAACAGGAUUAGAUACCCCAGUAGUCCCUGUCUCUUAUAA
rnacentral:rRNA from 1 species